AACAUUCUCAACUUCUCUUUAUAUUUUCGAUCUUCAUUUUCAAUCUUCUAUUCCAUAGUUUUGCAAUGGCAUCAUCAGCUAUAAAGUUCUUCUCCUUCUUUUUGGUCAUCAUCUUCGCCGCCACAGUGGCCUCUGCCCAAGACCUUAGUCCCUCGUUGGCUCCGGCACCAGGUCCUGAUGCUGGAGCUGCUGGAUCUGUUACAAGUUCAGUGGCUAUGGUCGGAAUUUCGGUUGUAUUGUCAAUGCUCGCCAUCUUCAAGCACUAAAAACAUGAUGAUUCCACUCAUUUUCUUGUGGAUUCAUGGAAGUAGGCUGAUGUUCUGCUACAUAAUGUUGGUUUGCGGUAUAGUGAUGAUUGAUAUGAGUUAAUCUAUGUAUACUUGAGAGCGUGAGAGUGAGAGAUUUUUACCGUAUUUAUUUUUAUAUUUCAUUAUUUAUUGUAGGUGUUAAGGAAAAAUAAGGAAGACUUUACUAUCCUUGUCGAGUAAUUAUUAUUGUCAUGUUAGCGUUAUGCUUAUUCAUUUUUGUGUAUAAUAUAUAAACAAUGAUAUUAUUUUAUACUUGGUAUUUUUUUAUUUUAUAAAUAUUCUUAUUUUAUAUGUCUUUUAUCCUUGAUCAUUUAAGUUUGGACUUGAAUAUGAAAAUAAUUAAACAAGUCAUUUAUUUAAAAUGAUUAAUUAAUACGUUCAAAUUUUUGUAAUAUAAAGGGAAAUAUAUGUUUAAUUGUAUCUUAACGUUAUAAAAGAACCAAAAUAAUAUUAUUAUUUUUUUUGUUUUAAAGAAUGGAGUCGUGGAAUUCAAUUUAUAUAGGUGAAACGAAUUAUUGUGGGUUUGCCUAUGCCUAUUCGAAACUAGAGAAUUCGAGCAGCGAAAAUUCAAAUGAUAUAAGUGAAACAAAUUAUUGCGGAUUUGGCUAUGCCUAUUCAAAACCAAAGAACUAUUGUGGGUUUGACUAUGUCUAUUCAAAACCAAAAAUUCGUUAACCUAAAAAUUUAGCAGAAGUGGUUAAUGAGCUACACCAAAAAUGAAUAAUUCUAGAGAUUCUGAGUUGGUUCCUGAGCUCAAAGUUUUUUUUUGCACAAACCAAAUGAUAUAUAAUAAUAACAACAAUUAUCCACCCUGCACAAGGCGUGCAAAAGUGAAUCAUCUAUCAAAAUAUACAAAGUCCAGGUGCCAAAAAAGAGGGACACCAUCAUAAACAUCGAAAAAAAGUUACCGGUAAACACCCAUACAAAGUAACGGGUGUUUCACCAAUCAUAAUAACUGUAAACAAAGGAUGGUUGUUUGGUUUUCACCCACAAAAAAGAUGUCAUCUUGAUUUUUUCGAUGAGAACAUAAGGAUGUGAUGCCACAUUUUUAAAGAUAUGGUUAUUCCGAUCCUUCCAUAUAACCCAAGCACAAGCAUACCAAAUACCUUUUAAAAAAGAUUGAGUGCACCGUGGUAAUCCCGCCAUAUUGGAAAACUGAAGAUGAUGUUCACGUUACACGAUGAACAACUGAGUGGACAAAUUAACACGAAAAAAACAAACAAUCGUUUACGCUAAUAAUUUGUUGUAUACCAUACUUUUGAAAUUUGUUGAAUUUUAUCCACGAUAAAAUGCGACUUUAAAUCGGCCUCUUUGGAAAUAGGAAAUCAAAAUUCGCAUAACUUGUAUCAAAUCGCCCUUUUUUACCUUGUGGACAGGUCUUGCAUCUCUGCGAGCUUAAUAUUUUAUGGAGAAUAGGGAAUCAAAAUUCACAUAACUUGUAUCAAAUCGCCCUUUUUACCUUUAGAAAAAUGUGUAACCAUUACAUUUUUAUUCUCCAAGUUGCAAAAAAUGUAAAUUUUUAGGAUAAAGUUUUCUGUAUUUAAAAAGGAUAGAGAUUAAGAAAGAGAAAUAUGUAAGAGAGAAUGCGAGAAAAGAGAUAAAUGUAAAAUAUAAUAUAAUUUAAAAUAUGAUAUAAAAAACAAGGAAAAAUGUUUUAUAUUUUAGGUUUACUUGUUAAAAUAGCUUUUGUAAUAUAUGUGAAGUCUGAAAAUAAUCCUAGUAAAAAUAAAAACACAAAUUAUAUCCGUGUAAGAGAAAACAAUCAUGGUUAGAGAACAUAAUAAAUAGCAUGACGAUCUUGCUUAUUUAAAGCUAGAGGUAUAUAAGAUACCUAGCUCCCUACAUAUUUUGAUAAAAGAAUCUGAUUAAAGUAGUUUUAUAAAAAUAUCAACAAGUUGACACUAUUUAAAUAUCUUUAAAAAACAAAUCACUAACUUUUAAGUGAGAUUUCUUAGGGAAAGCAUAUGGCACAAGAAUGACUGCAAGAACAAUUCUACUACCAAUAAAAAUACGUUCUAUUAUUCCACUUGGACAAACAAUUUCUCAAUACAUUCACAACUUGUGAAUUAUUAAUGUAUUCUUAGAACUUACAAGAGUCCAAGUCUUGUUCGAAAAAAGAGGUAACCAAGUCAAUUUUAAAUCAGAAUCGUUGGCUAUUAUAGCCGUUGAUGUCUUCAAAUAAAAAACAAAGAUACGAUAUUUAACAAAAGUGAACAGCACAUUCACACAGCUCACAAACGUAUAGAAACAUCUAACGGCCGACUCAUUCAUAGUAAUAUAUUUUCAAGCUCCAGCAGCUGUCCAUGUUAUCUGUGGACCCCACACUCUUCUCUAAAUAAUAAUUCUUCCCUUAUAAAUACUCUCACACCCUCUCAAUUCUCAUAUCACCACUUCUCAACAUUCACAACUUCUCUUUAUAUUUUCAUUUUCUCAUUUUCAAUCUCAAAUUCAAAGUUUUAUAAUGGCAUCAUCAGCUAUGAAGUUCUUCUCCUUCUUUUUGGUCAUCAUCUUCGCCGCCACCGUGGCCUCUGCCCAAGAUCUUAGUCCUUCGUUGGCUCCAGCACCAGGUUCUGAUGCUGGAGUUGCUGGAUCUGUUACAAGUUCAGUGGCAAUGAUCGGAGUUUCAGUUGUAUUGUCAAUGAUCGCCAUCUUCAAACACUAAAAACAUAAUGAUUCCACUUAUUUUCUUGUGGAUUUCAUGGAAGUAGACAAGUAAUAUUGACCUGUUCUGAUGCAUAAUGUUGUUUUGUGGUACGAUGAUGAUUGUUAGGAGUUUAUCUAUGUAUUUUUGAGAGUGUAAGAUAUUUUAUAGCAUUUACUUUUACAUUUUAUUAUUUAUUGUAGGUGUUAAAGUAAAAUAAAUAGGACUUUACCAUGGUUCUUGAGUAAUUAUUAUUGUCAUGUUUGCUUAUUUAUUUUUGUGGAUAAUAUAUAAACUAUGACAUUAUUACAUUUUUCUACUUAGUAUUCUUUUAUAAAUCUUUUUCUUUUAUUCAUAUUUAUUCUUUCAUCAUUUAAGUUUGGACUUUUUUUUUGUGUACCUUUUAGUUUGGACUUGAAUAUGAAAAUAAUUAAACAAGUUGUUUAUUAGAAAAAAAAUAGGUUUAAUUGCAUUUUUCCUCCUAUCUUUUGUUAAUUGUGCAAUUUUGCACCCCUUUAUUUUUUGAGCGAUUUUGCACCCCAUCUUUUUCCCCCUUUCUGAUUUUGCCCCCCGUCUUUGUGUUCAAUUGCACUUUUGCCCCCUAUCUUUUUGCUAAUUGUGCGAUUUUGCACUCUCUCUUCUUUUUUUUGAACGAUUUUGCACCUUAUCUUUAGCCCCUUUUCCUCUCUUUUAAUGAUGAUUUUUAACAAAACACAAUUGGCAAAAGAUGGGGUGCAAAAUCACUCAAAAAAAACAAGGGGUGUAAAAUUGCACAAUUAGCAAAAGAUAGGGGGAAAAGUGAAAUUAAGCCACUUUUUUCUUGACAAGAAAGCAUCUCCAAGAUUUUUGUAAGAAGAUAAAAGAAAUACUCCCUCCGGUCCUAUUUAUAAGAUAAAGUUGGGUCAACAAAAGUUGAUGUAUCAGGUUAACAAUUUUCUUAUAAAUAGGACCAGAGGGAGUAUAUGUUUAAUUGUAUAUUAAUUUUCAAAAAGAACCAAAAUUUAAGAUAAAAAUAAAGAUUUGCGAGAAAAUAAUAUAUUUAUUGAAUUUAACUCCAUUUCAUUAACCCACUGACUUUAAUUAAUAAGAGUGUUUUCUUUUUGUGGUGGCCGAAGUUUAAACCUCAAACCUUAUAUAUAUUAUGCAUUGUCUCCAGCAACUAAGUUAAAUUCACGAUGACAAUUAAUAAGAGUAUUUUGGUAAAUGAUACAUUAUUCAAUCACUAUUAUAAACAAAAAUCAAUUUUUUUUUAUAAAAUUUUAUUAUGACUUAUAAUAGUGAUCAGAGGAUGUACUAACAUUAUUAUUAAAAUCACCAUAACCGAACGUUUUCUUAAAGAGAAAUGUUAUUUGUACAACCAUUUUUAUACAACUUUUGUACAACUUUAUCUCUGAUACUCACAUUAUCUUCUUAUUCUCUCUUUUCUUUUUUCUCUCUCCAUUGUUUUUGACCAAUAAGAAGAGAGAACAACAAGGUUGUACCAAAAGUUGUACCAAAAUAGUUGUUCAAAUAUCAUUACUCUUUCUUAAAAAUCGUACACAACCACAAUGUGACAAUUAAAAGGUAUGGGGAGUGCGGAUAGGUAUUAUUCUUUCCCGAGAAAUGAUAUUUGUACAACCACUUUGUGAUAACUUUUUGAUAACUUUCUCUCUCAUACUCACAUUAUUCUCUUAUUCUCCCUCUUUCUUUUUCUCUCUCCAUUGUUUUUGACCAAUAAAAAUAGAGAGAAACGAAGUUGUCACAAAAAUCGUAUCAAAUGGUUGUUCAAAUAUCACUUCUCUUCUUUCCCGUGUCUUUUUCACCCGUCCAAUGAUAAUCCAACCAUUUCUAAUAAAUUUUUAUAAAGUUCAGUGAAAUAAAAUGAAUGGUUAAGAUGAGUGACUUCAAGAGAACAAUUCUACCAUUAAUAAAAAUAGGCUAAAUUACAUUUUUGGUCCCUUAACUAUUUAGGUAGUAUCACUUUGGUCCCUAAGUUAAAAUUUGAUUUAUUUUGUUCUCUUAACUCCUUCCUGCUACACAUUUUGGUAUUUUUCGUUAGUUUUAAUUCAAAAACGUUAGGUUUUCUUCAUUUUCUUCUGGAAUUUUUCUCGGAUUCAUGUUGUUGAAGGUUGAUGGAGAUGAUAUAAAGAUGAAAAAGAGGAGAAGAAGAUGAAGAAAACCUAACGUUUUUGAAUUAAAACUAACGGAAAAAACUAAAAUGUAUAACGAAGAGAAGUUAAAGGACCAAAAUAAAUUGAAUUUUAAUUAAAGGACCAAAACAAUACUAGCUUAAUAGUUAAUGAACCAAAAAUGCAAUUUAGCCAUAAAAAUAUGUCUAUGGUUCCACUUGAACAAACGAUUCCUCUAUACAUCCGCCAUAUGAAUUAUUAAUUGAUUCUUAGAACUUACAAGAGUCCAAGUCUUGAUCGAAAAAAGAAGAGUCCAAGUGAAUUUUAAAUCAGAAAAUAUUGGCUAUUAUAGCGGUUGAGUUAUUCAAAGAAAAACAAAAGAUAUAAUAAUUCUACUUUUUUGGUACUUUUGUUUAACAAAAGUGAACAGCACAUUCACACAGCUCACAAACGUAUAGAAACAUCUAACGGCCGACUCAUUCAUAGUAAUAUAUUUUCAAGCUCCAGCUGUCCACGUUAUCUGUGGACCCCACACUCUUCGCUAAAUAAUAUUCUUCCCUUAUAAAUACUCUCACCCUCUCAAUUCUCAUAUCAUCACCACUUCUCAACAUUCACAACUUCUCUUUAUAUUUUUAUUUUCUCAUUUUCAAUUUCAAUUUGAAAGUUUUACAAUAACAUCAUCAACUAUGAAGUUCUUCUCCUUCUUUUUGGUCAUCAUCUUCGCCGCCACCGUGGCCUCUGCCCAAGACCUUAGUCCUUCGUUGGCUCCAGCACCAGGUCCUGAUGCUGGAGCUGCUGGAUCUAUUACAAGUUCAGCGGCUAUGAUCGGAGUUUCAAUUGUGUUGUCAAUGCUCGCCAUCUUCAAGCACUAAAAACAUGAUGGAUUCCACUUAUUUUCUUGUGGAUUUCAUGGAGUAGGCAAGUAAUAUUGACUUAUUCUGGUGCAUAAUGUUGUUUUGCAGUACAGUGAUGAUUGUUAGGAGUUUAUCUAUCUAUUUUUGAGAGUAAUGUAAGAUAUUUUACGGUAUUUAUUUUUACAUUUCAUUAUUUAUUGUAGGUGUUACAGUAAAAUAAAAAGGACUUUACUAUCGUUGUUGAGUAAUUAUUAUUGUCAUGUUUGCGUAUUCAUUAUUGUGUAUAAUACAUAAACAAUGCCAUUAUUGCAUUUUUCUACUUGGUAUAUUUUUUUAUAAAUCUUUUUAUUUUAUUCAUCUUUUAUCUUUCAUCAUUUAAGUUUGGACUUUUUUUUGUGUACCUUUCUGUUUGGAAUUGAAUAUGAAAAUAAUUAAAAAGUUGUUUCUUAGAAGAAAAAAAAUAUUUAAUACUAACAGCUCAAUUUUUGUUUUGAACAAUCAAAUUUAUUAGAAAUGACAGAAGUAGUACUUAACUCACAAUUCAGGAAUAGUACAAGGGAUACUUGCUUAGUAAAAAAUCCAAACUCUAACUUAAGUAUUUAAACAAAGAAGAGAGUUUGAGUAUCAUUUAUUAUAUAAACACGGUCCCACUUUUUUCUUGACAAGAAAGCAUCUACAAGAUUUUUGUAAGAAUAUAAAAGAAAUAUAUGUUUAAUUGUAUCUUAAUUUUCUAAAAGAACCAAAAUUUAAGAUAAAAAUAAAGAUAUUAAAAGAUAAAGAUUUGUGAGAAUAUAAUAUUUUUUUUGGUUUUAAAGAAUGAAGUGGCGAAAUUCAAUUCAUAUAGGUGAAACGAACUAUCUCGGGUUUGAACAUGCCUAAUCAAAAACAAAAAGUCGCAAAAAGUCGUUAACCAACAAAUUUAGCUGAAAUAGUUUAUGAACUACACCAAAAAAUAAUUUAACACGAAGAAAAAAAAAGGAAAAAAUCGUUUACGUUAAUAAUGAGUUGUGGUCUUUCUAUAAACUGGCAAAUUUAUUAAUCAAGCCAAUUUACAAGAAGUAACGAAAGCACAAGCAAACAAGAAAAAAACAAUCAUAAAAUAAAAAUAUAAAAAACAAGUACUACACCCUAAGAACAUGCCCUCAUAAACACAAUUUUACACUACACAAUCCGAAGAAAGACCUAACUAAGGUUUUACAAUUCGAGAGUUUACCUCAAUUUGUUUUACCUAUAUAAACUCAAACUCAUAUAAGUUUAUUUAAAAUUAAAAUUAUAUAAAAUUUAUUAUAUCCAUGACAUAAGUAAGCUAAUAUAAUAUUGCAAAUAUGUCAAUAAUUCAAAAUAUGACUUAAUUACAAAGACAAAGUAUACAUAACCACCAUAAUAAAGAGUUGUGUUCGGCUUAGCAUCAAAAUACAAAAUUAACUUGCAAAAUCAUAAGUUUGGUAAGACUUUAAACCAUCCAAUAAAGCAAGUUUUAAAAGUUUUUAAAGUUGUUAAUGUUGGAUAUUUAUAUAUUGGCUUCACUUUUGCCUAAAACAAAUAUUCAUGUGAGAUAUUGAACACGAUGUGUCAACAUCCUGGCAUGGUUCAGUUGAUCUGCACACUGUCUCGUUUUAUGCACGCGCUAUUUUAUUUAAAGAAUCCACAUCUUUAUUCAUGUUGGUCAAGCUGCGUGUUUUUAGCACAUGAUCAGAUCAGUUUGUGAUUUCCUAAGAUUGUGUUAUCUACUUAGGAAAGUUUGGAGGUGAUCACGAUGUUCCUAAUAAUGUGCCUACAUAUUAGGAGUUUCCUUUUUUGAUUCUGUUGAUCGUGAAAUGGAUCACCGGAUUGUUCUGAAGCACAACAAGUUUACUGACUCGUAUUGCUUCAGUAUUUAAACAAGACUCAUUCAAGCCGUCAUUUUGAAGAAUAGAUCAUCUAGGAUUUUGAGUCUGUUUGUGUGAGCUUUUCGUGUAUCAUCUUAAUGCAUGUUUAGGACUGUGUUUGAGUUGUAAAUUGUGCACUACUCUGAAGCUUUUAAGAAAAGAGUUAGGUAGUUUGUAAACUGCACCUAAGUUGUGAAAUACGGUGUUUAGUUUUUUUGUGUUUGUAAUUUGAGAAUCACAGGGGAUGUGAUCAAUUGUAAGGGAGUGAGAUGGGAUCUCAGAUCUAGGAGUUCCUAGGUUGAAGUCAGUACGGGUAGGUCCUAGGUCAUUAGCACAAACGAGGAGUUUGCUGAGAGCUAUUGAAUAAGGACUACACUAGUGGAUUUCCUUCCUGACUUGGUAGCCCCCAGAGUAGGUGACGUUGCACCGAACUGGGUUAACAAACUCAUUGUGCUUUUUACUUUUAUGCUUUGCGUUUUUCUUGUCUUUGUUAGCUUAGUGUUCGAAACAUUUCACUCAACAUCUGUUUUUGUAUAACUUGUGUUGAAACAUUGUAUGGAACAUCUUAAGUCUAACGUGCCAGAAUUUCAGUUAAUGAAGUUAUCCAAAAAAUAAACUAGUUAAUUUCUUCAAAAGUUCAAUCAUUCUAAAGUUUCUUAAUAUCAUUAUCAUUGGUGUCUUCAUCUCCAAUUUCAUCAAAUUCUUCUCGAGAUGAUAUAGAAUUUUCCAUAUUACAACCAAAUACAUGGCUUGAACUCACUUCAACAUUAAUUAACUCAUUCAAGUUUACUAUAGUUACAAGAUUUUACCAGGUUUAACACGUGUUAACUAACCCGGUCAAACAUUACAAUUUCAUCAAAAAUAAAGUAUAUCUGCGAGUUAACACGUUUUGGCCACCUAAAAAUGUAAACUCGGACGAAUUUACGAGUUAACAUUUGAUUUGUUGAACACU
rnacentral:lncRNA from 1 species